GAUGAACGCUGGCGGCGUGCCUAAUACAUGCCAGUCGAGCGAACGGACGAGAAGCUUGCUUCUCUGAUGUUAGCGGCGGACGGGUGAGUAACACGUGGAUAACCUACCUAUAAGACUGGGAUAACUUCGGGAAACCGGAGCUAAUACCGGAUAAUAUUUUGAACCGCAUGGUUCAAAAGUAAAAGACGGUCUUGCUGUCACUUAUAGAUGGAUCCGCGCUGCAUUAGCUAGUUGGUAAGGUAACGGCUUACCAAGGCAACGAUGCAUAGCCGACCUGAGAGGGUGCUCGGCCACACUGGAACUGAGACACGGUCCAGACUCCUACGGGAGGCAGCAGUAGGGAAUCUUCCGCAAUGGGCGAAAGCCUGACGGAGCAACGCCGCGUGAGUGAUGAAGGUCUUCGGAUCGUAAAACUCUGUUAUUAGGGAAGAACAUAUGUGUAAGUAACUGUGCACAUCUUGACGGUACCUAAUCAGAAAGCCACGGCUAACUACGUG
rnacentral:rRNA from 1 species